rnacentral:rRNA from 1 species
GACGAACGCUGGCGGCGUGCUUAACACAUGCAAGUCGAACGGAAAGGCCCUGCUUUUGUGGGGUGCUCGAGUGGCGAACGGGUGAGUAACACGUGAGUAACCUGCCCUUGACUUUGGGAUAACUUCAGGAAACUGGGGCUAAUACCGGAUAGGAGCUCCUGCUGCAUGGUGGGGGUUGGAAAGUUUCGGCGGUUGGGGAUGGACUCGCGGCUUAUCAGCUUGUUGGUGGGGUAGUGGCUUACCAAGGCUUUGACGGGUAGCCGGCCUGAGAGGGUGACCGGCCACAUUGGGACUGAGAUACGCCCCAGACUCCUACGGGAGGCAGCAGUGGGGAAUAUUGCACAAUGGGCGGAAGCCUGAUGCAGCAACGCCGCGUGCGGGAUGACGGCCUUCGUGUUGUAAACCGCUUUCGCCUGUGACGAAGCGUGAGUGACGGUAAUGGGUAAAGAAGCACCGGCUAACUACGUG